rnacentral:rRNA from 1 species
AUUGAACGCUGGCGGCAUGCCUUACACAUGCAAGUCGAACGGUAACAGGUUAAGCUGACGAGUGGCGAACGGGUGAGUAAUGUAUCGGAACGUGCCCAGUCGUGGGGGAUAACUGCUCGAAAGAGCAGCUAAUACCGCAUACGACCUGAGGGUGAAAGCGGGGGAUCGCAAGACCUCGCGCGAUUGGAGCGGCCGAUGUCAGAUUAGGUAGUUGGUGGGGUAAAGGCUCACCAAGCCGACGAUCUGUAGCUGGUCUGAGAGGACGACCAGCCACACUGGGACUGAGACACGGCCCAGACUCCUACGGGAGGCAGCAGUGGGGAAUAUUGGACAAUGGGCGAAAGCCUGAUCCAGCCAUGCCGCGUGUGUGAAGAAGGUCUUCGGAUUGUAAAGCACUUUAAGUUGGGAGGAAGGGCGCUCGGUGAAUACCCAGGCGUCUUGACGUUACCGACAGAAUAAGCACCGGCUAACUUCGUGCCAGCAGCCGCCGUAACAC